rnacentral:rRNA from 1 species
AACGAACGCUGGCGGCAUGCCUAACACAUGCAAGUCGAACGCCCUCUUCGGAGGGAGUGGCGCACGGGUGCGUAACGCGUGGGAACCUGCCCUUAGGUUCGGAAUAACUCAGAGAAAUCUGAGCUAAUACCGGAUAAUGUCUUCGGACCAAAGAUUUAUCGCCUUUGGAUGGGCCCCGCGUUGGAUUAGCUAGUUGGUGGGGUAAAGGCCUACCAAGGCGACGAUCCAUAGCUGGUCUGAGAGGAUGAUCAGCCACACUGGGACUGAGACACGGCCCAGACUCCUACGGGAGGCAGCAGUGGGGAAUAUUGGACAAUGGGCGAAAGCCUGAUCCAGCAAUGCCGCGCGAGUGAUGAAGGCCUUAGGGUUGUAAAGCUCUUUUACUGGGGAUGAUAAUGACAGUACCCAGAGAAUAAGCUCCGGCUAACUCCGUGCCAGCAGCCGCGGUAAU